UAGAGCGCCACGUGAACCAGGCAGGAGUGCAGGACGACCCCGCGUCCGCAGAAGGCGAUACAGUCACACGGGUAAUGACGACCGGAAGAAAAAAGAAAAAGGUGACGGAGAAUCUUCAUCGGAGGAGGGCGAGAGUUCUCAGACCAAACCGGUCCUGGAGAUUCCUGUCAAACAUCACGCAGAGGACUCCGGCCACACGGACAACUCCUCCGAUGUGGUCGUCGUAGAAGACUUUGAGAAGUGGCCCACCAAAAGAGGGGCGGAGUCAGAAGAAGAAGUUGACGUCAGAGGAGAAUCCGAAAUACGUCCGAACACACCGGCCGAGGAAGAAAGUCAGAGGACUCCAGUGGCCGAGACGGUUUACAUCGUGAGCGAGGAAGACGACGACAACGUGGUUUCCAAAAUCAACUCCUCUGAUCCAGCAAAAU